rnacentral:lncRNA from 1 species
GCUGUUCCAGGGGCCUGGGUGGGAGCAGCCCAGGAGCCUGCGUCUCCCCUCCUCGGCCCUGGGAGGCGGCUGGACUGUGCCACACGGGACGGGUGCUGAGGGACCGCUGGGUGCCCACCUCCCUGACCCCUCCUGCAGGGGUGCCUGCCAAGCAGCCUGGGCACUGCCGUCUGGAAGAUGCGCCGUGCCGGUUCUACACGGUGUUCCCUUGCUCCAGGCAGAAAGGCAGAGGAGCCUGGCAACCAUGUCCCAAGUUGGAAGGAAGCUCUGAGAACCCUGCUCCCCAGAAAUCCUGAGCAAAGGCUGGCUGGCCUACAGGAGCAGUCUAGAGUAAGAGCUGUUUCCUGGCAGAGGAUCAAGUAUCCAGGUCACAUUGAAGAGACAUGUGAGGACUCCAAUGGAGAACAAUUUGAGAGUGAGAAACCAGUUCUGGAGGCCAGGAAGUUCAAGAUCAAGGUGUUGGCAAGUUCAGUGUCUGCUGAGGACCUGAUCUCUCUUCUUUCAAGAUGGCAUCUUGUUGCUCUUCCCUCCAGAGAGUAGAAAUGCUGGAACCUCACAUGGAGGAAAAAAUGAAAAGGACCAAUGCUAGUUCCCUUCAGCCUUUUUAUGAACUCACUAAUUCCCAUUGAGGGCUCCACAUACAUGACUUAAUCACCUCCUAAAUGCCUGACUUCCUAAUACUCUCAUUUUGAAGAUUAAGUUUCAACAUAUGAAUUUGGGGGUCAUAUUCAGAACAUAGCACUUAUGAUACUAUCUCAAAUCAUAGACUGCUUUCUCGGUGGGCAUCUAUCUCAGUUUCUUUUCUGUUGUUAUUACAGAGUACCUGAGCCUGAGUAAUUUAUAAAGAAAAUACAUUUAUUUUGGCUCAUGGCUCUAUAGGCUGGGAAGUCCAAGAUUGGGCGGUUACAUCUGGUUGGCUCCUGGUGCGGGCCUCCUGCCGCAUCAUAACAAGGUAGAGAAGUGAAAGGGAAGGUGGGCUUGUAGGAAGGGGGCAAAGCAUGAAGGGCAGGCUUGCUUUAUAGAAACUGGGACACAGCACCCCACAGGAUGAGUGUAUAAAGGCUAGACAGACAAGGGGAUUGUUGUGUUGAACCUGAAAAGUCCCCUCACCUGGCAAUGCUCUCUGUUCCCUGUGAGAAGAAGGGGUUUCUUUUCUUCUGGGAUGAUUCAUCCCUUCACCUGUGGCCUUCCCUAGAGCCCAUCCUUGUGCCAUUCUGCUCUCCAGGCACAUCUCUCUCAGAUGAAUUCCCUCUUCCCUCUUCCUCUGGCCCCUCCUGUUUAUUUAUCUGUUUCCUCACCACUGUGUAAUCAGGUAGGCCCCACUGCUGUGACCUCUGGAAUAAUGAUUGAAUCUGCCCUAUCCUCUCCACAGUGAUGCCUGGGACCCAGCUGAGAUCUCCAUCAUCUCUCAAAACAACUGUGCACUGACCUCCUGACCUAAGCCCAGCCUCUGCCCACUCAGACUGACCUUCACGCAGCUGCACAAUGCUGCAUUUGGAAGCCGGACCUGACCACAUUCGUUUCCCUCUGUUGAGAUUCAUGUUCUGGAGAAAUGAAAAUGCUGUCUCAGUGGAAUGUUGAUUAGCUGGAGUGGAGACCCAAGAUCUCUGUCCAGGCAGGGCCAUCAACUAGAGGUGGCCCUGUGAUUGAUGAGUGACCAGCCAUGUGUGGAGAAAAGCAAUGUGAACAACUUCUGACUUCGCUGUUAAAGAAAAUUGGUCUGUCCCCCAUUUCCUUGCAUUCCCAUUCUUACUGGCUGAAAUUCAAAGCUGAUAAAUGGAGCUAGAGCAGAUAGCUGGGAAAAUGAGUUGAGGGUCUUACAUUAAGACUUGCCAGCAAGAAGAAGAAUUUUUCCAGGGUUCCUGACACCGCCAAAUUGUUCGAUCAGCUCUGAACUCUAUACUGAGAUUCUUUAAGUAUGAGAGACAUGAACUUUGACUGGCUUAAGUGAGCUAUUGAGGUCUCUUUGCUAUUGUGACCUAACUCAGGGGUCAGCAAAUAACACUCUGUGCGCAAAAUCUGACUACGAUCUGUUUUUGUAACUAAAUAAAAUUUCACUGAAACACACCCAUGCUCAUUUAUUUAGGUAUGGCUGCUUUCAUGAUACCAUGGCACAUUUGACUACCUAUAGACAGUGAUAUGAUGUGGAUCUGUGUCCCCACCCAAAUCUCAUGUUGAAAUGUAAUCCCCCUGUGCUGGAGGUGGGAUCUGGUGGGAGGUGAAAUGGGGGCGGUUUCUCAAGAAUGGUUUAGCUCCAUUUCUCUGCUGCUGUAUUCAUGAUAGUAAGUGAGUGAGUUGUCACAAGAUCUGAUUGUGUAAAAGUGUGUGGCACCUCCCCCUUCUCUCUUGCUCCUUCUCGGCCAUGUAAGACCUGCCUGCUUCCCCUUCACCUUCCACCAUGAUUGUAAAUUUCAU